CAGGUGCCCGUAGACGUCGGCAGGCUGGAGGUAGAAGGUGGAGUUGAGCAGCUCUUCCAGCCUGCGCGGAACGUCGUUCUCCCGGUAGUACUCCAUCGCCUGCUGCUUCAGCUUCUGCAGCUCCCUAGUGGUCCCACAGCUGCGGCCGCCGCCUUCUUCCUCCAUGAUGGAGAGUGUUGGCGUGUACGGAUUCUGUGGGUGUAAAGCAAAGAACAAAAUGAAGUGUGAUUCAAGGUGGGAAAUAGCCGCUUCAGACCCAAUGGCAGGCUCUGGUGUUUCUGAGCUGUAAAGGGCAUAGUCCCUACACUGUGGGAGCUCCCAUCUGACAGGGAAGGUUGACAGGAUCAGUGUAACCGCAUCCCUGACCAGGUGAUCACAGUGACUGUCUCCUGCACAGAUCUCAAACUCCACGCCUGUCCUCCCACCCCAUCAUGGUCCCUAAAAAUGGCAAAAUUAAUCUCUUUCCCUUUGAUACUCUCACGUCAACAAGUAUGUUGCUGUUCAAGAUGUUUGUCAAAGUACAGAAACU
rnacentral:lncRNA from 1 species